GACAGAGGUGCCAAGCGUUAGGCGGAAUCACUGGGCUUAAAGUGUGUGUAGGCGGAAUUCUAAGUACCUUGUGAAAUCCCCAGGCUUAACCUGGGAACUGCAUUCGAGACUGCAUUGCUAGAGUAUGGGAGAGGGAAGUGGAAUUUCCGGUGUAGCGGUGAAAUGCGUAGAUAUCGGAAGGAACAUCAGUGGCGAAAGCGACUUCCUGGACCAAUACUGGCGCUCAUGUGCGAAAGCGUGGGGAGCAAACAGG
rnacentral:rRNA from 1 species